GCAGUCGAACGCUUUGUGGAUCAACUGAUUUGAAGAGCUUGCUCAGAUAUGACGAUGGACAUUGCAAAGAGUGGCGAACGGGUGAGUAACACGUGGGAAACCUACCUCUUAGCAGGGGAUAACAUUUGGAAACAGAUGCUAAUACCGUAUAACAAUGACAACCGCAUGGUUGUUAUUUAAAAGAUGGUUCUGCUAUCACUAAGAGAUGGUCCCGCGGUGCAUUAGCUAGUUGGUAAGGUAAUGGCUUACCAAGGCGAUGAUGCAUAGCCGAGUUGAGAGACUGAUCGGCCACAAUGGGACUGAGACACGGCCCAUACUCCUACGGGAGGCAGCAGUAGGGAAUCUUCCACAAUGGGCGAAAGCCUGAUGGAGCAACGCCGCGUGUGUGAUGAAGGGUUUCGGCUCGUAAAACACUGUUGUAAGAGAAGAAUGACAUUGAGAGUAACUGUUCAAUGUGUGACGGUAUCUUACCAGAAAGGAACGGCUAAAUACGUGCCAGCAGCCGCGGUAAUACGUAUGUUCCAAGCGUUAUCCGGAUUUAUUGGGCGUAAAGCGAGCGCAGACGGUUAUUUAAGUCUGAAGUGAAAGCCCUCAGCUCAACUGAGGAAUUGCUUUGGAAACUGGAUGACUUGAGUGCAGUAGAGGAAAGUGGAACUCCAUGUGUAGCGGUGAAAUGCGUAGAUAUAUGGAAGAACACCAGUGGCGAAGGCGGCUUUCUGGACUGUAACUGACGUUGAGGCUCGAAAGUGUGGGUAGCAAACAGGAUUAGAUACCCUGGUAGUCCACACCGUAAACGAUGAGUGCUAGGUGUUUGAGGGUUUCCGCCCUUAAGUGCCGCAGCUAACGCAUUAAGCACUCCGCCUGGGGAGUACGACCGCA
rnacentral:rRNA from 1 species